rnacentral:lncRNA from 1 species
AUGCAGGGUGGCGAAGAGAGCCUCCCCUCCACGGCGCUCAUUGGGUUGAUGAGGAGCCGGGUCAACAGGCGCACAAAUGAACGCAUGCCGCUCGGUUCGGGCGCGGACGCGCGAAGGUUAUCGUCUCACAUUGCCGCCCAUGGCUGUAGACGUUACAUAGGUGCGCGCAGAACACGGCGGCGGCCGCCGCGGUGGCAGAUUGUCAAGUGGGGAACGCGAGGUGAAGGAGAGUCAGGCAUCGGAAAGCUUCAACACACGCUGGCAAGCUUCCUAAAUACACCAUCAUUUUUUGCUUCACUGAUCUAUCACUAAACAACAGCUGCUGAGCAAGAGCCAGCGAGACGCACUGCGGGG